AGUCCUUGCUAGGGUUGGUUAAUUUUGAGGCUAUAAAUGGGAGGAUUCCCCAAACUGACAUCAAGCCAUUAGUGCCUGUUGCGUUUUCCUUCCGACCGUGGUGCUGUGGGAAUAGCUUCGUCAGACCAACCCCACCUCUUAUCGAUCAUCCCUCAGACCUCUGCUCUAUUUGCCGCCGCCGCCGCAUUUCCUUGUCGAUGACCGUUUUAAGAGGUGGUGUUGGUCUGAUGUGCAAUUCAUACAGGCAUUUGCAAGGCGUCGAGCCUUGAAUUCCGCCGCUAAGUAUGUUUUUUCAAAAAAAAAAAAAAAAUCCAUGAUCAACUGCACGGUUUGUAAGAUUGACCCAAACUGGUUGAAUUUAGGGUUUAUGCUUUCGACGAACUGAAGCUAGUAUGAAUUUUCAGUUUAUGCCUGUACGAUCUCUUGCCUCAGGCCUUCAGAGCGCAGAUGCGAAAUAGGAGCCAUGACAUAUUAGUAAAAUUAUUUUUUUUUUUU